rnacentral:rRNA from 1 species
AUGUUCUCGUCCCAGUCACUCAGCCGCAUCAACAACAUCAGGACUGCGCUCAUCAACGCGCAGAAGGGCAACCAGUCGGUAGCCUCCUACUUCGCCUCCCUCCGUGGCCUCGCUGAUGAACUCGCGGCCGCGGGCAAGCCUAUCCAGGACGACGAACUGAUCUCGUACGUUCUCCACGGCCUCGACAUCGACUACCAGCCGCUCGUCUCCGCCCUCGACGCUCGCGUCACGCCCGCACCAUCGAUGAGCUCUAUGCCAUGCUGA